AGCCUUGGAGGAAGGGGAUCCGAUUAGACUCCAAGGCUGACAGUAAACUGUACCACCGCGUGGCACCUGCCCAGGAAGGAACAACACGUUUCCUGCCAGCCUUGGAGGAAGGGGAUCCGAUUAGACUCCAAGGCUGACAGUAAACUGUACCACCGCGUGGCACCUGCCCAGGAAGGAACAACACGUUUCCUGCCAGCCUUGGAGGAAGGGGAUCCGAUUAGACUCCAAGGCUGACAGUAAACUGUACCACCGCGUGGCACCUGCCCAGGAAGGAACAACACGUUUCCUGCCAGCCUUGGAGGAAGGGGAUCCGAUUAGACUCCAAGGCUGACAGUAAACUGUACCACCGCGUGGCACCUGCCCAGGAAGGAACAACACGUUUCCUGCCAGCCUUGGAGGAAGGGGAUCCGAUUAGACUCCAAGGCUGACAGUAAACUGUACCACCGCGUGGCACCUGCCCAGGAAGGAACAACACGUUUCCUGCCAGCCUUGGAAGAAGGGGAUCCGAUUAGACUCCAAGGCUGACAGUAAACUGUACCACCGCGUGGCACCUGCCCAGGAAGGAACAACACGUUUCCUGCCAGCCUUGGAGGAAGGGGAUCCGAUUAGACUCCAAGGCUGACAGUAAACUGUACCACCGCGUGGCACCUGCCCAGGAAGGAACAACACGUUUCCUGCCAGCCUUGGAGGAAGGGGAUCCGAUUAGACUCCAAGGCUGACAAUCGCGCAACCACGUUGACGGACUUGCCCUGGACCUACCCUAUCAUCCUGGAUUUGGAAUAUUUUUUAAAUAAAGUUUUGCCAAUAUAUUUUUUUAAAGCGAAAUUGAUAUUUUAAAAAAAUUAAAUAAAAAAUACAUAUAUACAUUUUAUGGAUAUCCUUUGCAUAACUGUAAUGAAAUGUGAAAAAGCCAACAAUUUUUCUAAUAAGACGUCCUUUUUUUUAAAUUAUAUUUGUUUUAUAUAUUUGACAUUUUUGCAUAUUAGAAAACAUUUGCUUUGUCGAGAUUUGAUCCAUUUCCUGUUGGCAAGGACGUUACUAUAUACCGCUUUAUUACAGAUGUGUAAGGAAUAUCCAUAAACUUUGUGUGAGGUUUGGUAAAGGCUAUGGGUACCUUCACACUAGCGACAUGGCGAUUCAUCAGGACAAAAGCCUGAAUUAAAAAUAUUUUUUAUAAAUAUGAAAACUGUUGACAAUUAUGGAGGCGGCGGCGUCCCACUGUGAAAGCUUUAGGUACUAACAAUAAUGCAUGUUUGAAUUUCAGUCCAUCUAUCUAUCGCAGUACACUAUGGUCUGCUUAUAGUCAAUGGUGACAGGGGGCUAUUUCGGCCAUAAACCUGAUAAGUAGCUGUGUAGAUCCCAAAUCAUUUUGACCUGCCCAGAUAGCCUGAUCGACUGCCCUUACGAAAGUGUGAAGGUACUCUAUGAGGGGAUAUGGAGGAGGCCUUU